rnacentral:rRNA from 1 species
GGGUCUACCCAUUGGUCAGGCUUAAUUGUCUGUACUGGUGAGAUGGAUCUAUACCUUCUGAGGAACUUUCAUGCCAUUUAUUUGGUGUGAUGGGAAAUCAGGACUGUUACUUUGAAAAAAUUAGAGCGUUUAAAGCAGGCUAACGCCUGAAUACAUUAGCAUGGAAUAAUGAAAUAGGACGUUCGAUCCUAUUUUGUUGGUUUCUAGGAUUGACGUA